GACGAACGCUGGCGGCGUGCUUAACACAUGCAAGUCGAACGGAAAGGCCCUGCUUGCAGGGUACUCGAGUGGCGAACGGGUGAGUAACACGUGGGUGAUCUGCCCUGCACUUCGGGAUAAGCCUGGUAAACUGGGUCUAAUACCGGAUAGGAGCCAUUUUUAGUGUGAUGGUUGGAAAGUUUUUUCGGUGUAGGAUGAGCUCGCGGCCUAUUAGCUUGUUGGUGGGGUAAUGGCCUACCAAGGCGGCGACGGGUAGCCGGCCUGAGAGGGUGGACGGCCACAUUGGGACUGAGAUACGGCCCAGACUCCUACGGGAGGCAGCAGUGGGGAAUAUUGCACAAUGGGCGCAAGCCUGAUGCAGCGACGCCGCGUGGGGGAUGACGGCCUUCGGGUUGUAAACUCCUUUCGCUAGGGACGAAGCUUUUUGUGACGGUACCUAGAUAAGAAGCACCGGCUAACUACGUG
rnacentral:rRNA from 1 species